CGAACGCUGGCGGCGUGGAUAAGACAGGCAAGUCGAACGAGACAAGGUUUGUAGUAAUACAAAUUUUGUUUAGUGGCGCACGGGUGCGUAACACGUGAGUAAUCUACCGAAAAGUGGGGGAUAGCUCGCCGAAAGGCGAAUUAAUACCGCAUGUGGCUAAGGAUGACAUCCUUCUGAAGCCAAAGCAGCAAUGCGCUUUUUGAUGAGCUCGCGGCCUAUCAGCUAGAUGGCGGGGUAACGGCCCACCAUGGCUAUGACGGGUAGCUGGUCUGAGAGGACGACCAGCCACACUGGAACUGAGACCCGGUCCAGACACCUACGGGUGGCCGCAGUCGAGAAUUUUUCACAAUGGGGGAAACCCUGAUGGAGCGACGCCGCGUGGAGGACGAAGGCCUUCGGGUCGUAAACUCCUGUCAUGCGGGAACAAGAAAGUGAUAGUACCGCAAGAGGAAGGGACGGCUAACUCUGU
rnacentral:rRNA from 1 species